rnacentral:tRNA from 10 species
GCCCGAAUAGCUCAGCGGGAGAGCACACCCUUCACACGGGUGGGGUCACAGGUUCGAUCCCUGUUUCGGGCACCA